UACGUAGGGUGCGAGCGUUGUCCGGAAUUAUUGGGCGUAAAGGGCUCGUAGGCGGUUUGUCGCGUCGGGAGUGAAAUCCACUGGCUUAACUGGUGGCUUGCUUUCGAUACGGGCAGACUGGAGGUAUGCAGGGGAGAACGGAAUUCCUGGUGUAGCGGUGAAAUGCGCAGAUAUCAGGAGGAACACCGGUGACGAAGGCGGUUCUCUGGGCAUGUCCUGACGCUGAGGAGCGAAAGUGUGGGGAGCGAACAGG
rnacentral:rRNA from 1 species